GGGAACCCUGAUGCAGCCAUGCCGCGUGUGUGAAGAAGGCCCUAGGGUUGUAAAGCACUUUCAGUAGGGAGGAAAGGUAGUGGUUUAAUACGCCAUUACUGUGACGUUACCUACAGAAGAAGGACCGGCUAACUUCGUGCCAGCAGCCGCGGUAAUACGAGGGGUCCAAGCGUUAAUCGGAAUUACUGGGCGUAAAGCGUACGCAGGCGGUUCAUUAAGCCAGAUGUGAAAUCCCCGGGCUCAACCUGGGAAUUGCAUUUGGAACUGGUGAACUAGAGUCUUGUAGAGGGGGGUAGAAUUUCAGGUGUAGCGGUGAAAUGCGUAGAGAUCUGAAGGAAUACCGGUGGCGAAGGCGGCCCCCUGGACAAAGACUGACGCUCAUGUACGAAAGCGUGGGGAGCAAACAGGAUUAGAUACCCUGGUAGUCCACGCCGUAAACGAUGUCUACUCCGAGUUUGGUGCCUUGAGCCUGGGCUCCCAAGCUAACGCAUUAACUAAACCCUGGCGAGUACGGCCGCAAGGUUAAACUCACAUGAAUUGACGGGGCCGCCAACCCUGGACAUCGCCUU
rnacentral:rRNA from 1 species